rnacentral:lncRNA from 1 species
CGCCCGUAAUCGCGCUGGGGGUCUUCCUCCUCGUCGUCUCCAUCGCGGGGCUCGUCGGCGCCUGCUGCCGCGUCACCUGGCUGCUCUGGGUCUACCUCCUCGCUAUGUUCGUCCUCAUCGUCGCCCUCUUCUGCUUCACCGUCUUCGCCUUCGUCGUCACCAACCGGGGCGCCGGGGAGGCCGUGUCGGGCCGGGGGUACAAGGAGUACAGGCUUGGGGACUACUCCAACUGGCUGCAGAAGCGGGUGGAGAACCACAAGAACUGGAACAGGAUCAGGAGCUGCCUCCAGGGCUCCAAGGUCUGCAAGAACCUGCAGGACAAGAAGGAGUCGGUCACCGACUUCAUGCGUUCCGACCUCUCCCCGAUCGAGGUACUUGCUUAAUUACGUGAAAAAUGCAUUUUUCUUCCCUUAAUCUUCAGUCUCAGUUUUUUUUUGACAAAUCACCAAGACAGAUUCUAAAACAAACUCUAUCUAUCUGUAGCCGGCGUUUUGUCUUACAGAAAAAGAACACUUCUUUUUCAUUCACGUGUCAUUCAUACUUUAGUGGUCGCGAAUUGCGAUGUGACUUUGGGAGGAUAGUAGUAAUGCCAAAAGACUUUGAAGAAACGGUAGCUUGUGAAACGCAAAACCUUAUCUUAGGCCCGGCUGAUGGUUACUUGUACGGUUGUGCAUCUCGAUCAGACGUACACAAUUUGGAAUUCUGUCUAAAAAUGCAUUGGGCUUAGCGUUGAUAUUGUCAACGGAUUACUCCUAUUUUAUAGUGACAUAUCUUCGGUCCAUAUCAACCUUUACUACCUGCUCUGAAGUCUGAACUGCUCCCGAUGCUCUGACCGCUGCAUUAUUGAAGGAAGAAUUUUCGUUCAUCGCACAUGCUUUCAUUUCAACGCUCUGGUGCACUUGCACUCAACUUUUAGGUCGCGUAACCCAAUCGUUUCACGAAACGGCUCCACCUGAAACUAUCAUAAACAACUGAAACUGUUUUAUUUACUUGUAGUAUUUACCUAAACAACGUCAUGUGAUGUUGAAAGUUCCCAGUCAUGAGUAUUGAGUAGUAGCCCUGCAUAUGUGCUGCUCUGUUUCAAAGGCUCAUCGCUGUUCUUGUUGCUCGUGCAGUCUGGGUGCUGCAAGCCCCCCACCAGCUGCGGCUUCACCUACGUCAGCGGCACGGACUGGACCAAGACCACCGCCACCAACUCGUCGUCGGACCCGGACUGCAACACCUGGAGCAACGAUGCGCUCUGCUACGACUGCCAGUCGUGCAAGGCCGGCGUGGUGGCCACCGUCAAGCGGGACUGGAAGCGCACCGCCAUCGUCUGCAUCGUCUUCCUCGUCUUCAUCAUCAUCGUCUACUCCAUCGGAUGCUGCGCUUUCAGGAAUAACCGCAGGGACAACGCCUACCACGGCGGCUGGAAGGGCGGGUACGCCUGAUCUGGUCGAUCCACCGUCGUUUCGGAGCCUAGCAGACGAGAUCCGCUGCUCGAUUGGUCGAGCGUGCCAGCUCAGUGCUCUGCUCUCGCUGUCCUGCGGUCGCUUUCGUCCUAUAUGUUUAGGCUUCAUCUAGCUCUGUACAGUCGAGAUUGUUACAGCUUCUUAUCGUCUGCUAGUCACUUUGUUAUGAUCUGAUCACUGGUCAGCAGUAGGUUUUGUACAUGCUGUUCGUUGAUUUUGAUAUACUGCUCUAUAUUCGUAUGUGGAUGCCUUUAUUCUACAUGUUACUUUGGUGAAGGCUUUUCGGUUUUCCACUUUCUUUCCAAAACUUCUUCGCUUGACACGAAACAACGAGAUCUUUGCUUGACACGGCAGAGGAUUAGCUAGUCCCAUUUUUUUAAGAGAGAGAGAGAGGAUUAGCUAGCUAAUUUCUACUCUUUCCAGCGAUCUCUGUCAAUCUUUACUCUGUUUUCUUGCCAUGAUAUCACCAACCUGAAGUUGUUGAGCUAAUCACCAUUUCGGACGGGUUGCACAAAACUAUUGCACUUAUCCCCGUCCUGCACUGCACACAAAGUAGCACACGGUUCUGCUACUGACCGUCCCCGAUGAAGUAAUCCAAGAAAGGGUGGGAGACGAAGGCUCCAAGUCUUGAGCCAUGACGAAGCGAUAGGAAAGCUGUGGUGCCCCAUGAGAGGCAAGUCCAGCCUAACGUGCCGUCUGAAAAUAUCCACCCCUUCCCACUUUCACUGCCCAGGUUCCGAAAACAACUCCGGGCACCACCAUCUUGCUUUAUCGUCUUCGGUGUACGAUUCUUUCCUAUCAACCUAAUGGCCAUGCUUAACACGGGACUAUGUCCUUGGCAUCUUCCUUGUCAGAUGAGAAAUAUCUUAGCGAUGGCAGCAGAUAUUAGACAGUGAUGGAUCGAUGGAUGGUCCAGCCAAAGAAGGCUCGGCAGAUUGUUACGGGCACCAAUAUCAGGUUCCAAAAGGAUGCUAAAACUUGAAUGGAUCGAGAAAGGUGUAACUUCAGUGGAGUCCAUGAGCACAUGGGCUGAUGAUUUGAUGUAGGCACAAAUGUGUAAAUCGGUAAAUGCGCUUGCUGUUCCUAGUGGAGUUACUGGUUCCAGAAGUGGUGGUGACUAUUGCUGGUUCGCCUGGAAAUAUCCAAGGGGACUGACUGGGGCCAGCGGCUUGGUCCUUUCAGAGAAUGAAGUGAUAGAGCCGGCAUUAUAUUGCUCGAUGGACUAUUUCACUAGAAAAUGCUCUAUGAAAUGAAUUUGAGAGGAACUUUGCCCACCCAAAUUUCUUAUUUUGUUUUUCCUUGCAAUACUCUUCUAUAAGUAUUUGUAAACUAGAGAAGACUUGCAGGUUGUGCAUUGGACUGUUACCGCAACAGGGCAGCUAGAUAGCUUAAAGCCUUAAACAUAGCUAAUUUUCAAUCGCUUUUCAAAGGUUAUAUGUUAACGUGAAACAUUCAACUACCAUUAGUACAACUUAAACACGACAUUCUCCAGUGUAUUAUAAAAAAACCCAGCAUGUUUGAGUAUUUUCAUUGAUCGCGUUCUUAGAUAACAACGGUUCAGAAAGGUUAGUUUGUACUGUGUGAUUCGGCAUAAAAAAAAGAUUAGUUUGGCACUCUAAUCUUACACAAACAAUCUGCAUUUUAGGUCCAUUUACGUUUGGAGUUGCUAGAAUUGGUAGUCAUUAUAUUGCUUUUUUCCAUCUCAGCUUUACAUAACGGCACGGCAUACAAAUCCGACAAUUGAGGCCAAUGAUUCGAUUUCUCAGAAAAUAAAGUGAGAGAUGUGGCAUUAUAUUGUUUGACGGAACAUUCUCUAGGAAAUGUUCUAUGACACCAUUAUUUUUUUUUAAAAAAAAUCUUGCCAACACAUGAUGCUUUGCCUUUUUGUACUGCAAUACUCUUCCAAAAAUCAUGAUUAGCUAGAAGAAGACUUGCAGGUUGUGCAUUGGACUAUUUUUGGUAAUAGGAUAGUUGAAUAGUAUGGAAGCAGAUCAUUUUUAAUUCCUUUGGAAAGCUUGACACUAGCAUGAAACAUUGCAACUAUCGCUAGCAUGCCUAAAAUGAAAUGCAGUUCUCCAGUCUAUUCUUGAAAAAUAAAAUUAGUAUUAUGCAGAUAGAAAAGGAUAAAGAAAAAGAAAAUCAGCAUGUCUGAGUAUUAGCAUUACCAUUGUCAGAAACAGCGAGUCUGAAAGAUGGUAAAACUUGAAUGAACUGAGAAUGGUGUAACUUCAAUGGAAUCCAUGAGCACAUGGGCUGAUGACUUGAUUAGGCCCACAUAUGUUAAUCAGUAAACGCGAUUGCUGUUACUAGUGGAGUUACUGACUCCAGAAGUGGUGGUGACUGUUGCUGGUUCGCUUGGAAAUAUCCAAGGUGACUGGGACGGGACCGACGGUUUGGUCUUUUCAGAAAUGAAGUGACAGAGCUGGCAUUAUAUUGCUCGAUGGAAUAUUUCACUAGAAAAUGCUCUAUGACAUCAGUUUGAGAGGAACUUUACCUGCACAAAAGUUUUCUUUUGUGUUCGCUUUGCCAUACUUUUCUACUAUUAUUGUAAACUAGAAAGGCCUGUAGUAGAAGGUUGUGCAUUGGACUGUUUCAGCAACAGGCCAGCUAGGUAGCUUAAGCAUAGCCAAUUGUCAAUCCUUUUUUCUUUUUUGAGGAAGCCAAUUGUCAAUUCUUCCUAAGAUUAGCGACUACUAGUAUACACCUACCUUUAGUAUGCCCAAAAGGAUACACUGCUCAGCAUAUUAGUGUGUCUGAAACAAUACACAUGAAACAUUUAGCGACUACUAGCAUGUCUGAAUAUUUCCAUUGAUCAGCGUUCAGAUAAUAAUGGUUCUGAAAUCUUUUGUGGUGUUGCACUCUACUCUUACACAGAUAUAACAUGCAUCUUCGAUUCGUUGGUGUUUGCAGUGACUAGAAGCGAGUCUGUCCCCUCACACUUUGCAUCAUCUGCUUUGCUAACAGCAUGGCAUACGAUCUGAGAAAUGAGACGAAUUUGUUUGAUUUUUUUGGAAAGCGAAGCGAGGGGACCGGCACUAUAUUGUUUGAUGGAACGUUCCACUAGGAAAUGUUCUAUGACGUCAAUAUUUAAAAAAACUUUGCCAAGAAACAAUGCUUUGUUUUUAAAAUACUGAAAUUACUCUUGAAAAGUCAUUAUUAACUAGGGAAGACUUGCAACCUUGCAGGUGAUGCCUUGGACCAUUUUUGGUAAAUGAAAAUAUACCUCAAAUCUUAAUUCCUUUGGAAAGCUUUACACUGACAUGAAACAUCGCAACUAUCGCUAGCAUAUCUAAAAUGAUAUGCCGUUCUCCGGUGUAUCUUGAAGAAUAGAAUUAGCCUUACGUGAAAAGAAAAAAAAAGGAAAAAUGUACUCAACGUGUCUGAUUAUUACUAUUACCGUUGUCAGGCUCAGGCAACAAUGGUUCUGAAAGAUUGGUCCGAGGCUCUAUCGAAACACCGAUACAGUCUGAAUCUACACCUCCUUUGGAACCACUAGAAUGGAUUGCCAGACUCUCGCUCUUCGCGUCAUCUGCUUUGCCCCACAGCACCACAUACAAGCCGACAAUGAUAGUGAUAGCUCCUAAUACGCUGCACGAAACAAAGUUCACUGUGAAGACGCACAAGAACAGCGAUUAUCUACUUUCCAAACAGGGUGCUAGUAUCAGAAUGAAGCAUACCUUCCAAUAUGGAGUUCUUCAUGCAGGAAGAGUGUAGAUAACAUUGCUGUGAUCACUGCACUCAGGGGCGUAAAGAUUGCGCUGUAAAGGGGGCCUUUCACUGAUAUGCACCAGGAUUGGAUGAAAAAGUUUGCGCCGGAGGCAAAUACUCCCUGCAAAAAUUGUUCGAUAAUUUCGAUUGAUGAGUAGCAAUUCAAAGUUUCAAACCAGUGUGUAGACGAACGAUCAAGAAUGGAUUCGGCUGAACUUACUCCAUAUAAGAUGCAGGGGAACUCCCAGAACGAGGUGAGCUUCCAAAUUUGCAAGUAGUUUGGCUCCAGGAAGAAGGCCAUCACCGCGCACUGCAAGGUCGCUAAAAAGCACAUCCAGGUCGCCAGAGACAGGGGAUCAAGGUACUUUUUGCAGACGGGCACCUGAAACCACACCAUCACUUGAUCAGUCACCUUAAACCCCAGCAAUAGCGCGUUGAAUCUUGCCGAUGCAGGGCGAUUGCAAGCAUCGCUGCAAUUAGUUACCUGGAAGAUGUACCAGAUGGCGACGCAGACAGCAUUUCCGACGAGAUAAACCCCUCCUUUCACCCAGUCGCUAGUCGGCGAGCGAAGAACCGCGCCGAGGAGCUUGGGACCCUUGAAGAACGCCAUGAACAUUGCUCCAGCGAGGCAGAUGGCGGUGCCGACGAUCUUGGCGACGUUUCUCAGGUUUCUGAUAUCCACCUUCUCUAACCUGUGAGCCGAAUCGAAGGCGGGAGUAAGAAUUUGGGCCGCUGCUGCCUGCUGGGCGAGGUCUAAUUUAGAAUUUCUAAAUGGGCUGUUCUUGACGACAUUUAUUAAUUGGAGGUCUCUUGGCCCACGAAACAAAUAAGCCCAUAUGAAAGAAUUUAGCCUAGCCCAGUAGUCCCCCAAAACGCGAAGUGGUGAGCCCAACUUUCCGCUCAGAAAAGGGAAAAACAAAAAUAAAAUAGAAAGGAAGAAAAAACUGUACACGUACCCGAUGACGGCGGCGAUGGCGAAGGUGAUGCCGGGGGCGAGGUUGGUGGUGGCCCUGGCCAUGGACGGAGACGCCAGGAGCAGCCCCUCGAGGUAGAAGUACUGCCCAGUCGCGCUGUCCGAUCGAGUCAGAGAGAGUGAACCCAAAUUGUACUUAUCUGGCCGGAGAGAACAGGGGAGGACGAGGAGCUUUGGUUUUGCGUACUGACGUGGCUAGGGAUGCCGCGAAGAUGAGCCCGAAGGCCCGCGCGCCGACGGCCAUGGGCCGCAGCGUGCAGCCCCUGGCGGCGAAGGAGGCGAGGAGGAGCGUGGCAGCGGCGAUCCCCUGGCGGUAGGUGACGAAGACGAUGGGCCGCAUCCCCACCCGGGACGCCGUCUUGAGCGCCACGUCCACCAGCGCGUAGAACAGCUGCACCAGCACCAUCCCCACGCUCGGUCCGUAACGCUCCAGCCACGGACCGCCGCCCGCCAUGGCUGGCGAGAUCGAGGGAGAGAGGUGGGAGCGAGAUUAUUGGGGCCUCACUUCGCCAGCUAUGUAGGAGCAUCCAUGUGCGCGCGCCGGCCGGGCGCCGAGCUGAGUCAGCUGCGCCGUCAUCACUCUCUGCGUUUUUGUUUAUGGUUUGGGCGAUUGUUUUCCGUGGUCAACUCAAACCAAUCCUUUGAGAUAGAAGAAUUCGUGGUUAUGCAAAUUAAGUAACUUAUCGAGAUGCAGUUCUAUAUGCAUGUACGGGCCAUGCCCUGCUGGAUCUCAUCAUGAAAUUACUUCCCGUCUUCGUCGCACAUGAUUGCUAAGCAAACUUGCUCGAUUUCUCUUCUUCUACUUGGAUCCCGUCACCAUUUUGCAGGUAGCAUCUCCACCACAUGUGCGCACAGUGUACCUGUCGCGCAUCAACCCUUCAGUUUAUUGCCGACAAAUCAUAUCAGGCAGCAACUUGCAGCAGCAGGAGCAGCAGCAAUUUUCAUGGCAAAGAAAGACUGCAGAGCUGAAAGGGAUCCUCUGUUCCUCGAUCAGCUGGGUGCUUGUGAGCGUGCGGCGCCUGCCAGGAGAGGCGCAGCGAGAGUGUGCUCCACGUCGAGCUGAGCGUCAGACCGUGCGGUCCCGUCCGUCGAGUCUUUGCUCUGGUCCGGCCCCCUCCCCUUCCUCGCGUCCUCUGCUUUGCCCCACAGCACGACGUACAGGCCGGCGACGACAGCGACGGCGCCUACCAUGCUGGAUAAAGAAACAAAAAUGAUGUCACUCUCGUUAUCAGUCUCUGAUGAUGCAGAUGCAAACGGCGCCUGCUCGGUGCUCGCUCGGGGUGGGCAUCAGAGAACUGAAGGCAUAUUCAGGUCUCUCUUUCAGAGAAGGGACGUGCCUUCCGAUGUGCAGCUCUUCGUGGAGGACGACGGCGGAGAGCGCGGUGGUGACCACGGUGCAGAGCGGGGUGAACAUGGCCGAGUAGAGGGGGCCCCUCACCGAGAUGCACCACGACUGCAGGUAGAACACCACGCCUGACCCGAACACGCCCUGCAUAAUCCCAUCGGGUGCGACAUGACCCCGUCAGCCAAGACCUCAGAUUGCUUCUCCGCCUUCUAGUUUCUCAAGGAAGCUGCGUGUGUACUCACGGCAAAGAUGUAGCAUGAGAGCUCGAAGAGGGAGUGGAUCUUCCACGAGCUACGGUUCGGUAGCAGGAAGAAGGUGACCGCCGCGGAUUGCAGCGUGGACAGGAAGCAGGUCCAGGCCGAUAGGGUCAGAGGAUCCAUGUACGAUCUGCAGAUGGGCGCCUGAAAUCCAAAAAUGAGCUGCCUAUGAGAUUGUGCUGCCACUUAAUUUAAGUAGAGAAUGCAGUGGUGUUUGAUCACUAAUUCAAGAUCCUCUUUGAUACCUGGUUAAGUUUAGAUGGCUAAAUUUAACUGCUAAGAGUUCAAAUAUGUCCAGCUAAAAUUCAGCUAAACUUUAUUCAAAAUCUAAAAAAAGCUUUAGCCAUUAGCUGGCCAGGAGUAGCUAAAACUAGCUAAAAGUAAGCGAAGUCCAAAAUACCUCUAAGAUUUCUUAAAAAUACCCACUACCACAGCAUUAACUCCUUUCCCCGCAGCCCUGCCGAGCGCCGCCCGCCACCCAUCGACGCGCCGCCGCCCCUCCCAUCGGCGCACGACGGAAGUAGUAGAAAUCAAACACAAGCUGCUACUAGCUGGCUACUACAUUGCUGUGCGCACAAGCUGCUGAUGGAGGACAGGAUCAGUUCAGUGGGAACCGCACAAUCAAACAUCGGAACAUGAAAGUUCUCCAAUUUGCCUCUCGUGGAACCGAUUUAAGUCUCCCCUGUGCUUGGUCUAGGCAUGAAAUCAGCACGUCAAAAAAAUCAAGCAGAAGCAAGAAACAUCGAAUCAAAGUGUCAUGCGUACUCCAAUUAAAAAUAAAGCCUACAGAGCUUGAGUAUGCACAACCUAAAAAUAUUUGACAAACAUUUCGCAUUGAAUAUAUUGUUCACUAAUACGGGAAAUCAAUGGCGAUGUGAAUGCUUGCUCAUAUACAUUGCCUUGGGAAAAAAACCCACUAAAUAUAUUUCUUAUUAGGCUAUUUAUUAGUCAAACUUGACAAAGUUCGAAUUUUUUUUACGAAACACGGUACAGACUCAAAUGCUCACAAACACGCACGCACACUCACUUUACUGAUGUCUCGUUAUCGACAUGUAUAUCGCCUACUAUUGAAUGAAUAGCGCCGGUUAAAUCCAGCAAAAUGCGAGGACUCGAGCCUGAUGGGCAAGUUCCAUCAUAGAAAUCUUAACAGCUGAGUUACACUCAGUUCGCGACAAAGUCCGAAUCUUCACACACAUAUGUGAAUGUUUUUCUUAUCAUUACAGCUUUAAUAAUCCCUUAUUUGCCACUAUGCAUGGAUCAAUAACAUAUAUAGGUAUGCGCACAUACGGUACUGGCACAUGAAAGAUCAAUAAGGAAUUGCAAAUUUUCAGUGAAAAAAAAUCCCUACCUAUAAUUUUGAGAAAAGGAUUCUACAGCUAAGAGAAAAGGAUUACAUGCUAAUGAAAAUGGUUGCUUAGCACACUGACCUGCAAGAUGAGCCAAAGGGACCAACAGGAGCUGCUGCCGAUGAGGAAGAGCGCUCCCAUCACCCAAUCGCUGCUUGACGGGGUAAGCAUGUACGAAUCAUGGAGAGAGAGCUUCAGCAGCUUUGGGCCUUUGAAGAAUGCAAUCGUGAUAGCUCCUCCGAUGCAGACUGCAGUGCCGAGGACCUUCGCAAUGCUAGCUACUUCUUUGAUGUUUACUCUUUCUUGCCUGUUGAUGAAUUAGAUGCAUGAAGCGAUAAUGACAGCGAUGCAACAUUUCAGAAUCUUACCAAAGAAACUGAACUCAACCUAUCAUGUACAGUAGCAGUUUUCUACAAAACUAUUAGCUAAUUUUCUGUCAGCCAUCAAUUUUUUUUUCGCCAGGAAAGUACAGGUAGGAAAAUAUGUUGAUAGAUUUUUGGAAGAAAAUAUGUCGAAUUUUUUGCAAAUGUCGUCAUUUGAUAUUGCAAACAUUAUUUUUCGAUGUUUUAAAAUAUUUCGUGAUUUUAGGGGAGGAAAUAUGGCAGAUUCUCCUGAUAUUACACAUGCUAUUUACUAUGUUUCAAUAUAUUAUUCUCGCAUGUUUCAGUCAUAUGUAACAUGAGAGAAUAACAUCUGCAACAUCAAAAAACAAUAUAUGUAACAUCAUAAAAUUUGAUAGAUUUUACCCUUAAAAAUUUGUCGACAGAUAAACAGACACUUCUAGCUGUACCUGAACUCGACUUUUCAAGACGUCUGCAAGAAGAGUUGGAUGAACGAACAUCAUGCAGCUUUAGGUGCCAACAAGGCUAGUUACAAGAGAUGGAAAUCAAACACAUUGCAUGAUCGUAAAAGACAAAAGAGCAGGCAUGCAUGUCAUGUGACGAGCUAGGUGAUAUACCAUCCCAUGUCGUUAUACAACGUGUUCGGCUGGCUGCUUUGCAGCGAAGCCAGCCGAACAACUACUUCAGAUAUCGUAAGAGGCUCUGCUUGCUACUGCACCAGCAUCCGAGCAGCAGCAGCCAGCCGAACACGCUGAUAGACUAAUGUAACACGCAACUAGAGAAGGAAAUUGACGUGUCUCGUGAUUGUUAGUGGCCUCACUUAAUCAUUGACACAUCUUCGAGGUCUGUAAGCAUCGAACGAUUAGCGAAAUUUCUAGCCGUCUAGGGCAUCUGGUCACUUUAUGCUCAACACUGGUAUUUUUUUUUUCAAAAAUGAAAUACAGCAGGCCUGUUUUCUGGGUACUCACCCAACGGCUACUGCCAUGGCGAAGGUGAUCGCCGGUAUCAAGUUCGUCAUGGUCGUGGCCAGCGAUGAGGUCCCUAAGUGCAGCCCGUGGUAGCACAGAUUCUGGUUCACCGUUGCUCUGUUGCACAAAAUGGAUACAUAGUUGUUGAUUGAAAACAGAGGAAGCAAAAUGUUGGCACGCUACCACUUCAUUUCCCAUGAGUAAGAAUUUGUACCCAAACAAAGCUGCCAUGAACACCAAGAAGAAGCCUUUCAUCCCAAGCCUCAUGUCCUUCAGCAUGCUCCUGACCAGUUCAGAUUCCAGAAAGAAUCACAACAAAGAUUACAACAGGCUGAAGCAGAGUGUGUGCGGGGUUAUAAGAAACGCUGGAGGAAAGAGGAGCAGCGUCACUGAUCGAUCAGAAUAUCAGAUCCUACCGGUUGGAGACGAUGGCGAUGGGAGCGAGGACGAGGGUGGCGACGGCCUGCCUGUAGACGACGAAGACCGUGGGGCUCAUGCCGCCGGCGAACGCCGCCUUGACCCACAGCGUCAUGGCCGCGAAGAUGCACUGCGUGGCAACCAUCGCCGCGCACGGCCUGUACCCCUCCACGACCGCGCGGAUGUGGCCGCCGGCCAUGUGUCCGGCUAGGCACCGGAGUGGACGGAGAGGGAGAGAGAAUUGCGAGCUCGGAAUCUACGGCACCGCGCGGAAGAGAGCUGUGUGUACUGACGAGCUCGCGCCUGUGCUCUGCUCCCUCACUGACUCGCGCUUGUGUACGCCUGGGAAGGGAGCAGCGGGCGAAUCCGGCUGCGGGCGGUCGGCGUUCGAUUGGCGGAUAGCCCAUAGCCACGCGCACCACGUCUUUGCAUCCGCCUGUUGGUGCGAGAAAUACAAAUGUUAUACUCCAUGCUCUCUAGCAAUUCUAAUAGAAUGUUUUAGGGUACGGUAUGCAAGAAUUUGUUCAUUUCAAAAUUUAUUUAUUCAUUAACUUUUAUCCAUUUUCUAACACAAUAUUCGUAUAUAGAUAUUUCUGAAUCUUUUUCAAAUUGCGGUGGAACCCAGUUACCAAUUAUUCUAUAUUGUUUGAGGUUUCCAUCUAUAUUCGUAGUGUUUCCCCUUACGCUGAACUUCCGUAUGUGUUCAACAAUCAACACGUACUGUAUUAGCUAAAACCUUGAGCUUUAGCUGUGUCAGCUCAUGUUGUAGCUCAUCUAUCAUUACUUCAUGAAUAUAUAAUUUAUCUUCCAAUUUAUAUCUUGUUAUUAUUUGUAAGAAAAACGUAUUUCCUCCACAAAUCCAUCUCUUUGAAAUUUAGUAAAAGGCUUGAUUACAUGUCUUCAGUUACACUUUUAGCUACUAUAAUGGCAUAUUAAUUCAUUUUAGCCUGCACUGCAAUGCCCAUUAUGUAAAAUGUCAUACCCGGUUUUAAGGACAAAAUCAAGUGCUACCUAUAUGUAUGCCAGGAUCAAGUUUCAUACAUAUAGUGACAUCAUAAGUGAAUAAUAGUAACAAUAUCACGUAAAAAGAUUCAAAUAAAGACUUACGAAACCAUCAGAGAUACAUAGCUUAAAUACUUGAAAUUGAGGCUCCAAACUUCACAGGCAAUUGACUGGGCGUUGCGUACGCCUAGAACUCAGCAUCAUCUUCGGAAUACUUCACACACCUUCUUCUUCUGAGCAGCAGUAAGCAAGGGUGAGUACACUUAUGGUUGGUACUCAGCAAGGCCACUAGAUUAACCAGAAUAACAAUUUAAGUCCAUCUUUAAGUUUAAUUAAUCAUGUGAGGGUCCAGGCCGUUCUUGACCGUGAGCACGGCUGAUCAAUCAGUUUUACACUCUGCAGAGGUUGCACAUCUUUACCCAUAAGUCACGUAAAAGUUCACAAGAACUUUGGACCCAACCAUGCGAUGCUAGCUAGGCAUCCUACCACACUUCCGAGGUGUGAUUGCAUAGGAACGCUACGAGGCCUUUACAAAGAUUCGCUAGUAUGUGGUAACCCGCUAAGGUUUCCAGAUCAGUAGCAGAGCAUAACAGUCCCCUAGUGGGUACAGUGUCUUAGCAAAGCCCACUUCCUAAGAGAGCGAGUGCUAUACCCCAUCUGCCGCCGCCCUUCUUGCCCUUUCGGUAAGAUUACCCCAGACUAGAGUUUCUAAUUAUUCAGCCAAGACCAGAGCCAUUUAGUCUUGUGGUAGCACUGUUUUCCUGGGUGGUUCUCCAUGUUCCCAUUAACUUUAUCAUGAUAUUAUUAACAAAGCAUAGGUAGAAGGAUGGUUAGGGAUACUUGCCUUUCUCCAACAAAAAGUUACUCUUACUGCUCUUCAGAAACUCUUACUCUUCAAAUCUUCCGAACAACAAAUCUUCUACUCGAAGCAAACACCGACACAAACAUACAAGCAAACAAAAAAAGUACAACUAAGAACAAUACACCAAAACAAAAGAAAAGCUUUAAAAGAGCGUACUAAAGGAUAGGGCUCGAUUCUAAGAUUACGCGAACGGAAGAGACGCUGAGAAUAGAGCUAUGAUCGAUAAGGCAAAACUAUCGGGAGAUUUUGGAUUAUAAAAGAAAAGACAAGAGCUACAAGCUUCAUUUAUUUUAGUUGAGAAAAACAAUGUAAAGAUAUUUUAGAGAAAUAUCCUUAGUUAGUAUUAAUCAAGUCAUAUUUAUAUUUUCAUAAGAAAAGGCGGUGUAAAGUUUAGUCCAAUUUUAUUUAUAAAUUUUUAUUUAUAAAUAUUUGAGUACAAUUUAUGCAAAUUAAACAUUUAAUUUAAAAAUAAGAUACAUGUAGACAUCUAAGCGUAUAGCUUUACAUUUCGAGUUCAACUAAGAAGAUUAAAUUAAAAACACAUUUAUAUUUAUAUUAGCUAAAUUAAUAUUUAAUUAUGAAAACUCGAGAUAUAACCUAAUUGUAUUUUAUUUAGAAAAUAAUAUGAAGUAGGCAUUAAUCAAGUUAACAUUUAAUUAUGAAAAACGAUAUAUAACACUAAAUAGAUUUUAUUUAGAGAAGAACUCGUUUGUUAGGCAUUUAAUCAAUUUUAAUAUAAAUUUUAUUUUCAAAAAUGUGUGUGAAGGAAAACAUUACCACUAACGUGUAAUUUAUGUCAUUAUGAAUCUAACGCAACUUCAACGGACAAAAACGAAAUUAAAACGUAGAAUCUAUGGGUUAAACGAGUUGCAAGGGCCCAAACGCAAUUAACCGUACACCUCAGGGGUUAGCAAGGAAGAAUUGCAAGACACCAGGAAUAGUCUCAAAAUUUGAGUUUUCCUCAGGAGCCUAAUAGCAAAAUCACCAUCUCAUCUUCAACCUUCCAACGCACUCCAACUGGUAACACGAUGGCCGUCGGCCGCAGGCCGGCCCUGCCGGCGGCGACGGCCGGGGCCGGGGCGGCUCGCGCGAGCGGCGGGUGACGGCGCCAUCAGGGAGGCCUGGCCGGCGGCUCCGGUGGCGCAUAGGCGGCGGCGCAACGAGCAGGGGCGACGGCCGGCGCGUGAGCCACGGGCGGCGGUGGUGCGGCGCGAUGCGCAGGCAAGGAGGCAACAGUGCGCGUGCGGUGACGGCACAAGCAAGCAGGAGGUGGCUGGGCGAGCAGGACGAACGGACCAGGCGGUGGCCAUGGUUACGGACGGUUUAGUUGCGUACAGAAACAGAGAAACAAAGAGAGAGGAAGAUGGAAAGCUGGAAACGAAGUCCGAUCUCGCGCAUGAAUGGUAAAAUGGAACGAUAACGACGAGACGAACGAGAUGGUGUGCUCACCUUCGGCCGAUGACUGAUGGUUUCGUCGGAUUUGCUCGCCGGAGUUUCGUGGGUAACCGGAUUUGACUUCAGAUCUACGGAGCUCGGAGCCUCAACUCACGAAAAUAAUUUUAAACUAAAAUUCUCGCGUCGAGACGAACGCGGUGAUAAAUAUAUAUAUAGGCCGGGCACAAAAAAAAGAUAUUUUCGAGUUAAUUUUUUAUUUUUUGAAUUUCUGAUUUUAUUUAUCUGCGCGAAAAUAAUUUUAGAAAUAGCCGGACUCAUUUUCUAAAGCGAGAAAAAUACCUAGAAAAUUCCGAAAAAUCUGAGAUAAAUCUCAGAGAUGGAUUGGGACACAAAGAAUCCAAAUAAAAUACUUAAAGCUCGUGAAAAUGAUUCUAGAGCCUUCCAAAAAUUGGAUUUAACUUUAGGAAAAGGAGAAUAAUUUCCAGAAAAAGUUGGAAAAUUCUCAAAAGGAUCUAGACAACGUCUAAAUGCAUUUUUAAAACUUUUUCCACUCAAGAAACACCAAGAUGCAUCAUCAUGAAUGCACAGACAUAAAAUAUCAUUAUUUAAUUUAGAAAAAUGAACAAUUAGUUUCCUAUACUAAAUUUCCUGUAAAGAAAAAUAAAGGUGGGGAAAAUUUUAAAAUUAUGAGAAAAUUAUUAUUUAUUUAUUCUUUUUAUUCACAUCCUGAAAUUCGAAAAUUUCAGGGUGCGACAUAAAAUUUCCUCUAUUAAAAAACUACAAGCACAAUAUGACCCUUUUACAAAAAUGUAAGGUGAAUCUUUAUCUUUAAAGACCAAAACCUGGCAGAAUUACGCUAAUUUCGUUGCUCCACGUCACGCUGACGUCGUAGCCAUCCGUUUUGAGCUCCUCUCAAUUCUCAGCCGUUCGAUCUCGUACGGACGGCACAACUUCUCUGGACUUGACCCGACGUAGCUAGGUGUGUCCCCUUUUGAACUUAGCAUGUGUUUGGUUCCAGGCAUGGGAUGGGACGGGAUGGGACAGUCCAUAAAUGUCCUAGUGUUUGGUUGUGAAUCGUAGGGGACAGGGACAUCCCGAAUCGGGAAUAUACCCCAAAUAUGCGGGACAACCCCGUCCGGCAAAAACGAGCGGACGGGGUCAUCCCGGUUCCUCGUCGCCCGUGCACGUGACCCGCGCGUGAAAAACGCUUCACCGCCCACCGCUCCCCUCCUCCCGUUCGCAGAAAAAAAACAGUGCCCGCUCCUCGAGCGGAAAAAAGCGGCGGCGCCGCGCACUGGCCAUCUAGACGGCGUCCGCAGAUCCGGGUCACCGGCCACCGCUCCGGAUCCUCCUGGCUGCUCCGACUCCUCCUAGCUGGCACGCGCACUCCGCGGAGGUCUCGUACGCGACCAUACACGCGGAGGCCUCGUACGCGGCCAUACGUGCGGCGGCCGGCCUGGCUUAUGUCGUCACGGUCGGUUAGUUGCCGCUGCUGGGAGCGAGAAGGCCGGGAUCUGACGCGGCUGACUUGCUCCGUACUCGUCGCUACGCAUAACGCCGGGUAGGUGACGGGCAGCUGUGAGAUUUGUUUUGGUGCGACCAUAUUUAUGCCCUCUUGAAACUCAUGUUCAGAUCCUGCUGUAUUGGUAGCAACGAUUGUGUUUGGAUUUAGCGGAGUCUGCCAAGGAAAAUCACGGGUGUGCCAAAUAUGUGUGCAUUUCACAACUCAAUUCAUAUGCAAUAUCACACAAAUCCACCUUGUGCUAUGCUCCUUGUAUCUUGAAAGUAAUAUUACUCUCCUCUGUCUUUCUAUCUUUUCUUGCUCCCUUACUGGAUUAUCUUAAUUACCACCAAUAUGAAGCUAGCUUCUGCCAUCGCAACCACAAUUUCUGAAUGAAUACAUUUGUGCAAUAAUGUCGGUAUUGGUUACAUGUGUGUGUGCAGUAGGAUUCAAUGUAUUUUUGUGAUGUGCUGGUAGUGGUUGGUGGUAUAUAUAUAUAUAUAUAUAGUCCUAAAUUCUUUGGUUUUUUGUGCUAUAGAUGGAUCAACAAACCAAGGUUGUUACUUGUACUGCUGCUGCAUAUAUGUUGUUGUCAAUGAUGGCCAUGGUUAUUAUUGAGUCUAGAAAACGUAAGCGAGCUGCAAGGAGAGAAGGUAUUACUUAUGGGCCUAUCGAUGAAAGGGAUAGGAUGAGACUUGAAUAUCUAAACAACAAAAUUUGGAAGGAUGAUAUAGUUUGUGUAAACAUGCUAAGACUCAAUAGAGCCAAGUUCUUUCGAUUUUGCAACCUAUUUAGGGAUCGUGGUUUGCUUGGAGAUACCAUCCAUUGUUCUGUUGAGCAGCAAGUGGCAAUGUUUCUAAAUACUGUGGGGCACAACCUUAGGAACAGAUUGGUUGGGACUAAUUUUGAUAGAUCUGGAGAAAUGGUCAGCCGUUAUUUUAACAAGGUUCUUCGUGCUGUUGGUGAGCUACGAGGGGAAUUAAUUAGGACACCGUCAUUGGAAACUCCUACCAAAAUUCUAGGAAACCACAGAUGGGAUCCUUACUUUAAGGAUUGUAUUGGAGCCGUCGAUGGUACACAUGUAAGAGCCUCUGUUCCUAAGGAUAUGGAGUUAUCCUUUCGUGGUAGGAAGUCAUAUGCCUCUCAAAAUGUAAUGGCUGCCGUAGAUUUUGAUCUCCGGUUCACCUAUGUAUUAGCUGGUUGGGAGGGGACAGCACAUGAUGCACUAGUAUUACGAGAUGCUUUGGAGCGUGAGAAUGGACUUCGAGUGCCACAAGGUAAUACACUAAUAGCAUAUCAAAUUCUCCAUAUGAAUCGUUGAUAUAAUAGAAAUAUGAUCAAAUUUCCAUCACAUUUUAGGGAAAUUCUACCUAGUUGAUGCCGGAUAUGGAGCAAAACCAGGAUUCUUGCCCCUUUUCGUGGUGUUUGUUACCACUUGAAUGAGUGGGGGAAUAAUCCUGUACAAAAUGAGAAGGAGCUAUUCAACCUUAGGCACUCAUCUCUUCGUAUCACAGUAGAGCGUGCAUUUGGGUGUCUAAAGAGAAGAUUCAAAAUUCUAGAUGAUGCCACUCCUUUCUUUCCUUUCCCGACUCAAGUAGAUAUUGUUGUUGCUUGCUGCAUCAUUCACAAUUGGGUCAUACAAGAUGGAAUUGAUGAGUUCUUCAUGGAAGAAAAUAAUUUGCCAAGUUAUAACCAUGCUACAACAUACAGUGGACAAGCAAGUGAGCAUACCGAGAUGGUUAAUUUUAGACAAAGCAUUGCUGAUCAGAUGUGGGCAGACCGUCAAAACAACAAUAUUAAUUAGUACCCACUAGUUUGUUGAUGUAUUUCAGUUUUGCAAGUAUUUUUCUUGUUUUAUUUGUGUUGUAUGGACAUAUUGUUGCUAUAUUUCAGUUGUACGGACAUGAUAAUAUUUUUCAUAUUGAUUAUUGAGGAGGAUGGAGUUGGGUAUAGUGUACUGACUUCUAUAGUGUACUGGUUUGUGACUUCUUGUUUUCAAAGAAAAAAACAUUCAGAAGUGUUGUGAUUGUGCUAUGCUUGGUGGUUCCUGUUUAUUAGCUCUUAGUUCUUCUUUGCAGCUUAUUGUGAUUGUGUUGUGCUUGGUGGUUAGUUUUUGUUAUGUCAAAAAACUGUAUGGCAAAAAAUUGGACCAGAAGUGUUGUGCUUGCUAGCUGCAUUUUAAUUGAUCUUUACAUUUCUGAGGUGCUGUAAAAUGUAAAAUUUCAGAGGUUACUGCUGCAUGCUUGUUAUUGUCAUUUGCAUUAUCAAAUCUUAAGGAUGUGUGAUAAGCUUAUUUACAAUUGUAUACCGUAUAUCGGUUGCUUUUCUGCUAUAUAUCGUGAAGCUUUUUACUUUUGACGUGUAUUGCUAAAUUGCUUGCCACUUAUAAUUUUUCUGAUGCUCCAGAGAAUAUAGCUAUGCUAACUGAAAUGUACCACAUGUGGCUUUGGUUAUUUCAGGAUUACGUACCACCAGCAUCCUUCUCAUGUGGCUAUUGUUUAUUGUGCAGUUGUAGUUCUCCUACUGAUCUCGUUUCUUUUUUCAUGAUCUUUUUUAUUGUGCCCUGGAAUCAUGGAAAUAUAUGCAGCGAGCCAAGUGGUUUGUGCUGAUUUGGACAGUAUCAUUCAUGUGGGCUCUUUUGCAUGAACAGAUUGCAGUAAAAAGGCUCAAGAGUUGGACAACCAUGUCGAGGGACUGACAUACGAUACUUGCUGUUUUUUUUGUUCAUGGCAGGCAAUGGACGGCCAUGUCGAGGGACUUGGGAGAGGUACUAGUGUGGCUGCCUGGACAGCGCCAAUGUCCACUUUCAUGCUGAAAAAUCUUGCCAAUGUGGUUGCUAGUGGUGUUAAAACAGGAAAGGGCUUCAAAAAGGUCUAUUUUAAUGCAUGUGCUAGAGCUGUCAAUGAAAAAUUCAACACUACACUCAAUGGUGAGCAGAUUAAGAAUCAUCUAAAGACAUGGCAAAGAAAGUGGGCCAAGAUAACAAGACUCAAGAGUUUGAGUGCAUCUGGAUUUGAUGAAGAUAACUACAUCAUCACCCUUGACGAGGAGCACUACAAUGGCCAUGUGCACGUAAUCUAGUUUCUAUCGUUUUGUGGUCUUGUUCUUAUCAUAUUUUUCGUACUGAUUUCUAUUGCAUUAUAGGAUCACAAGACUGAUGCUGAGUAUUUAAACAAGCCUCUUGAGAACUAUGCUGAGAUGGAAACAAUCUUUGGGAAGGAUAUGACUACAGGCAAGUUUGCAAAGGAUUCAAGUGCUCCUCUUGGUACAGAAGAUGAUGACACUGAAGAUGGAGCUGCAAAUGGUACAGGAGAUGAUCCUAGCAGUGCUUUUGAGGAAGGGGUAACAUCUAAUGCAAGACCUAACAAGAGGGCCAAGAUUGUUGAAAGUGAAGAGGAUGGACUGAUUGGUGCGUUCAACAAAGUUGGUGACAAGCUUGCCAUAGCUAUAAUGCAGGUUGCUAAAUCAAACAAUGAGCUGCCAGAAGAUCUCUUUGCUAAAGUGAAUAGCCUUUCAGUUUCAGGCUUUAAUGAUCUUCAGAUAUCCACGUACUAUGCUCAUCUGGUGGCCAAUCCUCUCACUGGUAAAGCUUUCUAUGGCUUGCCAUUUGAGCACCAGUUACAUUGGAUGGCUAUGUUUGUUAGUGAGAGGUUCCCUGGACAGUAGGGUGCUUUUGGAACAUACAACUAGUGAUAGUGGUAAAGCUUUCUUUUGCUAACUAGGCCAUGUUUGUUACACGUGAUAGUUGUAACAUCUCUUUUGUCAUAUUUCUUUUGCUAACUGUGGCCUAUCUUGUAUGCCUUGAACUUUCUAUUUUGUGUAAGGCAUGAAUUUGAUGUAAUGGAAGUAUGGUAAAUACCAUCUGUAUAUGAAUGUCAUUUGAUGGUAAUGAAUUAUAUAUGAUUCGGACUAUAUAUAUUGUGUAACCAAAAAAUUGAAAGUUGUAUUUAUAUCAAAAGGAAAGCUGCAAUUAUUGUUAGAAAGAAGGUAUGAGAGGUAGGAGGUGAGGUAGGAGGUAAUGUCACUGUAUUUGUGCGGGAGGUUAUCAUAACCGGUUGUCCCUCGAUCCAAACAGAAAACAGGAUCGUCCCAUCCCACGUUUAUCCCUCAAAUCAAACAAAAAAUAGGGACGCCCCUGUCCCUCUAACCAAACAUGAAAUAGUAUCAUCCCAUCCUAGAAAACUGAAACGGGACCAUCCCGUUCUACAUUGUCUCCCAUCAAACGCAUACUUAGACAAGGGCUACUUCCACCGUGCGACUGCUCCACCGCCGGUUGCAGGGCUGGACGCCAAGCGCCGCGGCCUACGGUCUUGGCGGCUCGCUAACAGGGCCAGGCAUGAGGAGUGCAGCCUGUACAACCGUACAGGGCCUCCAUUUCCUUAGGCCUCUAUUUUUUUCUACUCUACAAGCCUACAGCUCAUCAAACACAGCAAUAGCUGGUUCAAACCAGGCAUGACGCACUCUAGAAGGUCUGAGGUUGAGGCGUGAAUCAUUUUCUCAUGCAGCAGGUGCAGAUUAGGAGGCAACAGCCCAAGGUCAGGACGCUGGACUAUUGGAGUCUCGAACUUUGGAUGCGCUGCAGGCCAGAGUGCAGUGUGCACCUCAAGGCUCGGCCUUGCACAUCAAAACCGGGUUAAGGACUCAUGGAAAUCUUUUAUUCUUCAAUUCUACUUUCUAUCUUGCGCAUAUGAACAAUUAAUCUAUUAUAUUACUAGCUCUAAAUUCUUUAUUACUUCUUAUUACUUGACAUACAUCCUUUAAUAAUGUAAUUCAUCUUUUGUACACAUGUGUAUGAAUUGGUCUAGGGGUCUAUUGUUCCAAGACUGAAGCCAUGUUUUAUACAAUCCUCUAGAAAAUAUGAUUGCGGGAGUCAAAAUCGUAAAAAAGACAAAGAAUAGAGGAAUUAAUUCAAUUUUAUUGCCGCGUGAGUGUAAUAUAUUUUAGCUUAAACACUCGUAUUGCUCAUAUUUCUUAGACAAGAGGGGCCGUUUCAGAGUUUGGACAGGGCCCUGAAUUUUGCCGGCCCGACCCUGCUCGCUAAGGUCCACUGCUCACCGCCAUAGGACUCUAGCUUGAGGAGGUCCGCCUACCACCGCCACGAGCUUGGGAAGGUGUAGGGUUGGACAUGAAUGUCUGGAAAUCCGAAUUAUCCGAAUUCAUAUCCACUAAAAAUACUAAUAUGGAUAUCCGUAUUCAUAUUUGUUUUUAAUGUGGAUGUCAAAUGGAUGUAUCUGGAUUUGAUUUUUAGUGUUUUUCUCUAUCCGGUUCCAUAUUCGUAUUCGAUAAAAAUGUGAAAUAUCCGACAUUAUCCGUAUCCGCAAAGAAUAAAGUACCAAUGAAGCCAUCUAAAACUUAUUUAUAUUACUAAAUACUAAUUACAAAUGAUGUUAACUUUAAUAUUACUAAUAAAAUAAUUAUUUACACCAUUUAAACUAUUAAAAAUUAUCUAUAUGACAAAUGACUAAUUAUGUUAACCUAAUAUUACUAGGGAUAUAUAAUGAUAAAUUUUAAUUAAAUUUAAUAUAACUAAUCAUAUUAAGUUAAAUACAUUUAUUAUUUAUUAAAUGAAUAAAUAAUAUUUAAAUGUAUUAAUGAACUUAUUUUUAUUAUUAAAUGAUAUAUAUUUAUGGAAAUACUUAUUUUUAUAUUUAUUUGAUAUAUUUAAGGAUCAUCUCCUUCAGCUUUCUCCUGAAUGAUUUGGCUUCCAUGAUUAGGUGGUUCUGAAGAAGUGAAAGUAGCCAGUGUUGCUGAUGAUCACUGGCCGCUCGGACCUUUUGGCCAUGAUGGCGAUGGGGCGAGGGCAAGGGUGGUGGCGAAGCCCUGCCUGUAGACGACGAAGACGAUCCCGGGAGAACGCCGCCUUGGCCCAGAGCGUCAAGGCCGCGUAGAUGCACUGCGUCGCCACCAUGGCCGCGCACGGCUUGCACCCCUCCGCGACCGCGCGGAUGCCACCGGCCAUGGCUGCUGCGUCCCGCGCGCCGGGCAGAAAUGGCUAGUACCUGAGAUGAAUAUCUCCUCAGCCGGCGCGGCGAGCAACUAGUACUUAUCGGCCUGCUCCCUUUCGUGUAUGGCGUAUGCGCAUAGCACUACAAGUCUACAACUGCCCAGUGACCAAUUAGCUGUUAUCACACGUCUCUCUACUAUCAGACACCCCCGCCCAUACGAGCGCAUUUCCAAAAAUAUUAUAAACCAUGUGUCAACAAGCCGAGCUUAAUCCAGUAGCUCAAGCUCUUGACCUAGUUUGAAAGGUCGCCCUGAUAUUGAUCGGACCACACGGGCUGACAGGCGUCCUUUUUGUGAGCUAGGGAAGGUAUGCUAGGCUUGUGAUGUCAGCCGCUAGUAGUAGUAGGCCCAAACGCUACAGACCCAAACACGCCAUAGCACGCACGAAUGCCACAAAGCUGCUCUGGAGUGGACAGUCAACGUGGACGCCGCGGCGGUGGGCCGGUGGCGGGCGGCGAAGGAGCGGAUCUAGGAUCCGGGCUGGGGGCUGCAUCCCAGGUCCAUCCCAAGAUCGUCCGUAUGACUAUGUAGGCUAGAUCUCAGCUCAAGGCAAAUAAAAGGCACAAGAAGCUAGCGCUAGCCUAGUUCCCCUGCAGCAGCCCGGGCCUGGACCAUCUCUGGGUCCGCCCCUAAGCGGCUCGGCACAUUUUGAUAAGCAUGCAGGUCAAACGUGACCACCCAAACUCCAUGACAAAAAAUGGGAGUGCACCGCACUGCACCAAUGGUACAAUCACCCCGAAUCUGCUGACGCAACCGUGUGGUGAUCCUUGAGACAGGGCAUCUCUACUUCUCCACUGGACCGGCGGCGUCCGCCAGCAGGAGCGGCUCGACGAUGCCGUUGCCGGCGUCGAGCAUCGAAUCCGACCGGGUCAUCGUCUUCUCCAGAUCGUCCGCUUGCUCCGGCUCCCUCCCUCUCUUGACCCCGUCGCCCGCCUUGCCCCACAGCACGACGUACAACCCCGCGAUGACGGCGAACGCCCCCAACAAGCUCAAUAGACAAAUAUCAGAAAAGGAUCACAAAACUCCUGCAGGUUAAUAACUCUCUUCGAAGUGGACAGUCGUCCAAGCGCUGAAGCGCAACAGACCUGCCGACGUGCAGCUCUUCCCGGAGCACGACCGCCGCGAACACGGUGGUGAUGACGGUGCAGAGCGGGUUGAACAUGGCCGAGUAGAGCGGGCCCCUCACCGAGAUGCACCACGACUGCAGGUAGAACGUCACGCCCGACCCGAACACGCCCUGCGCACAACACAGUUCACGCCGCCACCGCGACAUCGAUCACCUCCAAGCUAGGUUACAUGGAAACGGCACAGGAAGCUAGCAAGUCAUGGCGAAGAAUGGUUACCGAGAAGAGGUAGCAGGAGAGCUCGAAGAGCGAGUGGGUCCGCCAGGCGGCCGGGUCCGGCUGGAGGAAGCAGCGCGUACUGCAGCGUGGACAGGAGGCACAUCCACGCCGACAGCGCCAGAGGGUCCACGUAGGACUUGCAGAUGGGCACCUGCAGGAUGAGCCAGAGCGACGAGCAGGAGCUGCUGCCCACGAGGAACAGCGCGCCCACCACACACCUGUUGCUUCCCGCCGGCAAGUGGAGAAGAACCUGCAGGUCGCCGAGCAGCUUCGGGCCCUUGAAGAAGGCCAUGGCCAUGGCGCCGCCGACGCAGACGCACGUGCCGAAUAUCUUGGCCAGGCUCCUCGGUCUCCUCGCUUCCACCUUCUCAAGGCUGUCGUGUGAAUCAGAAAGAGGGGCAUCACCAACGUUUUCCGGACGAAUUUAUAGCAUCAGAAACAAAGUUUCAGACAAAUCGAGAUAAUACCGGAUACACCCUCCUAAAGAUUAGUCCUAAAAUGGGUCCUAAAAGUGGACUCCUAAUCUUGAGGAGGGUGUAUCCAAAUAGGACCUAAGGCCAAUCUCAGUGGAGGUUUCAUCAGGAGUUUCAUGAUCAUUAAAUAACAUUCCACAUCAGCAAUUUUACUGACGUGAUAAGGUCAUUAUGAGAAGAAAGAGGAGAGAAAGUUUCAUCAUAUGUGAGGUUUCAUCACCAUGAAACCUAGCAGGCAAAGUUACCAAGUUCUCAAUCUUGAUAACUAUGCCAUGAAACUAUGCAUUGAGACUGGCCUAAUUAGGCCAGCCUCAGUAGGUGUCAUGGAGGGUUUCAUGGGUAUUAAAUUCUAUGUCAUAUCAGCAGUUUUGCUGACUUGGCAAUCUAAUCAUGAGGAGAAUGGAGAGGAGAGUUUCUCCAAUGAAACCCACUUGGCAUAGUUACAAGCCCAUGAAACCCAAUGAAAAUUGCACAGAAGAUGUUAUAGUUUCAUUGUAUGACACAUUGAUCAUAACUCUAUGAAAAAUUAAAUGUUGUCGAUUGUCUAUAAAAUUUUACACUGAAAGUGACAAUUUUAUUUUAUUGAAAAGAUGACACGGUAGUGCAGCGAGUCUCACAGAACCAGGGACAGAUCACUGAAACCAUGCAGCGAGUCUCACAGAACCAGGGACAGAUCUGAUUGAAGACGACGAUCCAUUGCAUGAGUGACAUAUUCUGGGAGCUAGUGAAUGUGUCAACAUAAUUUAACAUGCAUGCAAAUUAAAGUGUGCGUGAACCUACAAUCAUUUUGUCCUAACUGAAAACUACGAAGCAACAAGCUGGAAAGUGUUCUGCAUGGAACGAAGAAACAUGAUGUUUCUGGAUGCUGACAAAGAGUCAGACUGUCAAAGUAGUAUGCUUGCUGCAUGCAUGACCUGGAGCUCUGUUCCAAAUGAAUAACCGCCCAGAAGGAAUGAUGUGAGUAUGUGACUAGACGCCAUGGAAGCUACUAGCGUAUCGUGUUAUGCCGGGACUCCAUGCCUCCCGUGACAUCUCCUGGUUUUGGACUCGACCUCCGACCUCGCAUAACAGAGAAACAGAUAGAUCGUCGAUUUGUUCAGUGUUCACUACUGCAAGUUUCCGAUUUUUUCUUUGGAGCUCAUGUAGAUUUCUUUGUUGGUUUUUGAGUCCUAAUUUGGAUUUUGGAACGAAUGAAUUGCACAGAAAUAAUCAGUUAAAAAGCGGCCUGAGAUCUAGUGAUAUAUCCCCAUCCAAGAAAGGGAGUGAUCUGAUCUGUUACCCCGGUAGCUAAGCAAGAUUAAGCAUCAUGUGUUCAUGCGGUCAUGUUUGGAACAGAUUAAAUCCAACUUAUGGCUAAAAUAAAUCGAAACUAGAAGUCAAACAAUAUAUUUUUUCAGCUUAUUUUUAGCCGCGCUUCUCCCCACCACCUCCAUUUGUACUGAAACGCAGAAGCCAGUUCAGAUCCGCUUCUCAAAUAAAUAUUAUUUCAAUAUUUAUACAACUUAUUUAAGAAGCGCUUCUUCCUGCCGCGGUUCCGAACAAGACCUAUGGUCCAGGUGCGAAUGCAUUAUUGAGUGAGGUGGCACGUUGGUCCCGGCUCAAACAGGUGCAGGGCGUGCAGCCACAAGGAGCCAAACUAAUGCAGCAGUAUUAGACGACAGUGGAGGGCAGAUCAGAAACAGUGUCCUGCUAGUACUUCGCUAGUGCACUGAAACGGAUUCUCUGUCAGGUACUCACCCGACUGAUGCUGCCAUGACGAAGGUGAUGGCAGGAAUCAAGUUGGUCAUGGCCGUCGCCAUGGAUGACGAACCCAGAUGCACCCCUUGGUAGUACAGACACUGAUUCACCGUUGCCCUGUCGCAUGCGUAGAGCAAAAGAGAUCUAAAAUCUCAUAGAUAAGAAACCGAAAAGGUUCCACUAUGCUGGAAACGAAUAUUGGUGUUGUUGAUCGUCGAUGAUCGCGAUCUUCCAAGCGUGUGUUAUAUAGUUUUGCUAUUGCAUAUCCGAUAAGAGACGCGAUGAAGACCAACGACGAGAAUCCUACGAUUCCAAGGCCCGUCAUCGUCUCCGUCAUCUUCUUCCUGCAGAGCACCAGUCACGACCGACGAUCAAAAUCAUCAGUGAAACAUGUAUACUAUACAGGAAGAACUCUGGAAGUUCUAUUGGAACAGAUUUAAAGAUAUAUUUAACUGGAUCAUUAACUAACAGAUUUAAAGAUAUAUUUAACUGGAUCAUUAACUCCUAUGAGUUAAGGGAUCUUGUAUUGAACGGAGGGUUGUAAACAUGGAGUAAUAAUCAUGUUGAUCCCACCUUAGAGAAACUGGAUAGGGUCUUGAUAAGCGAAGAUUGGGGAAAGGAAUUCCCCAUAACAAAUCUCAGGAAAAUUCCUACAUACAUGUCAGAUCACAACCCUAUGUUGUUGUGUACUGACCAAAAGAAAAUCAGGAAAACAAAGCAAUUUUGCUUUGAGACUUCCUGGAUCAAGCACAAAGACUACCUUCCUAGAAUUUAGAAGAUCUGAGGUGAAAGGGUGGUUGUUAAAAAUGUUGUAGAAAAAUGGUACAUUAAAGUCAACAGAGUCAAAAAGUUCUUGAAAGGCUGGGAUAUAAACUUGAGAGGUCAAAAUAGAAGAUACAAACAUAUUCUCCAAACUAAAUUAAUGGAAUUAGAAAAGAAAGAAGAAGAGGGCAUGUUGUCAAGAGAACUUCUAAAUAGGAAAAUUUUUAUCCAAACUGAACUGUCGAGAAUGCUACAAGAAGAGGAGCUAUAUUGGCACAAAAGAUCCAAUACUAAGUGGCUUCUAAAAGGAGACAAUAAUACUGACUUCUUUCACAGAGUUGCUAACGGAAAAAAAAAGGAAAACUGCCAUAUAUUGUUUACAACAUAAUGGCACAAACAUUGAGGGAGAUGAAGAAAUUAUCAAACACGCUACUCAAUAUUACAAGGAAUUGUUUGGACCCUCUGUUAGUCCAAUGUUCAAAUUAGACCCGGACUGCUGGGAUCAAUCAGAGAAAAUAACCAGUGAGGAAAAUGGUAUGCUCUCUAGACCAUUCACAGAGGAAGAAAUUAAAAAAAGUGAUUUUCUUAAUGGAGAAAAACACAGCCCCAGGUCCAGACAAUGUGCCGGUAGAAUUCUAUCAGUCUAGCUGGGAAAUUAUCAAAAUAGACAUGAUGGACAUGAUUAGGGAAUUUGGUGAUCACAAGCUGGAUGUUGGGAGACUGAAUUAUGGAGUGAUUACUCUAAUUCCGAAAACAAAGGAAGCCAAUACGAUACAAAAAUACAGGCCUAUUUGCCUACUCAAUGUGAGCUUUAAAAUCAUAAUCAAAGCGAUGAUGUUGAGAUUCGAAGACUGCAUGAGCAGGAUUAUUGGCAGAUGUCAGACAUCAUUCAUAAAAGGAAGGAACGUAAUGGAUGGGGUGCUCAGCUUACAUGAGAUUCUACAUGAUACAAAAAUCAGAAACAAGGAUGGUGUGGUAUUGAAAUUGGAUUUUGAAAAAGCUUAUGAUAAAAUAAGCUGGGACUUCCUAUUUGAAUGUCUGAAGCAAAGAGGAUUCAGUGAGAUCUGGUGUAAAUGGAUUCAAGAAGUAGUUACAUGUGGAUCUCUUAGUGUUAAAGCAAAUGACAUUAAGGGGGGUACUUUAAAAGCGGCAAGGGUGUAAGACAAGGGUAGCCUCUGUCUCCCCUGUUCUUUAACCUGGCAGCUGAUACCCUGGCAAAAAUGAUCAGCAAAUCUCAAAAAAAUGGGCUAAUAAAAUGUUUAGUCCCUGAAUACAUACCCAAUGGAGUGGCAAUCCUACAGUACGCCAAUAACACAAUUCUUUGUAUGCAAGACAGUGAAGAGACCGCGAGAAACAUGAAACUUUUGCUAUGCAUAUUUGAAAAGAUGUCCAGCCUCAGAAUUAAUUUCAAUAAAAGUGAGAUUGUCAUGAUUACCCAAGAUGAACAAAAAUUAAUUAUGUAUUCAGAAAUGAUGAAUUGUGCAAUAGGAUUGUGGCCAAUAAGAUAUCUAGGUGUCCCUGUAUCUGGUGCCAGACUUCAUAUAAUGGACUAGUUACUGCUAGAUGAGAAGUUGCUUAAGUGGUUAGAUGGAUGGCAGGGGAGCUCAAUGUCAAUUGGAGGGAGAGGAACCCUAAUAAACUCCUGUUUAAGUAGCAUCCCAACAUAUAGCAUGUCUAUGUAUCUACUCCCAAAGAUAAUUUUGAAAAGAAUGGACAGGACUAGGAAAAGAUUCUUCUUGCAGGGUGGAGGAACUAAAAAGAAAUAUCCUCUGGUCAAAUGGGUCAAAAUCACCAAACCAAAAAAGAAAGGGGGUAUAGGUAUCAAAGAUCCGAGGAAGAUGAAUGUGAAUUUAUUGUGCAAAUGGUGGUGGAAACUUGAAACAGGAGAAGGCUUGUGGCAGGAAAUUGUCAGAAAGAAAUACAUGGCUGAAGGUGGGGGUCACUCAACUGAAAACAAAGCCAUAUAAUUCCCCUGUGUGGAAGGAUCUGUUAAAGGUUACAGAUAUAUAUAUAUAUAUAUCUAAAGUGUAGAAUAGUGCUAAUCGGAGAUGGGAAGAAUACUAAUUUUUGGAGAGAUCCAUGGUGUGGUUCUGUCUCGCUUAAGGACAAAUUUCAGGAGCUGUUUUGAUAUCUGUAAUGAGCAAUCAGGGAGAGGAUGGGGGCUGACCUUUCGAAGGUGGUUAGAUGAGAGAGUGCAAACAAGCCUAAGGCGACUGAGAGACAUGAUUUCCAUGAGAGCUUUAUCAGCUAACAAAGAUAGGCUGAGAUGGAUUUGGGAAAAAUCAGGGGCAUUCUCAGUGAAAUCUCUGUACUCCCAUCUGUGUAGCUCCGAGAGGGAGGAGCCUCACAAGAUGAUCUUGAAGUCAAAGCUUCCCUUAAAAAUUUAAAUUUUUAUGUGGUUAAUCCAUCAAAAGGCCAUCCUGACAAAGGAUAACCUUUCAAAACGUAAUUGGCUCAGUGAUAAAAGCUGCAGCUUUUGUCCUUUGGAUGAAACUAUAGACCACAUGUUCUUUGAAUGUUCCCUGACUAAGGGGGUGUUUGGGAGGAGUGGGCUAAACUUUAGCCCUGUCAUAUCGGAUGUUCGGAUACUCAUUAGGAGGACUAAACAUAAGCUAAUUACAAAACUAAUUGCAGAACCCCUAGGCUAAAUCGCGAGACGAAUCUAUUAAGCCUAAUUAAUCCAUCAUUAGUGAAUGGUUACUGUAGCACCACAUUGUCAAAUCAUGACCUAAUUAGGCUUAAUAGAUUCGUCUCGCGAUUUAGCCUAGGGGUUGUGUAAUUAAUUUUGUAAUUAGUCUAGAUUUAAUACUCCUAAUUAGUGUCCAAACAUUCGAUAGGAUGGGGGCUAAAAUUUAGCCCCCUCCUCCCAAACACCCCCUAAAUACGUCUGGAGUUUAACAGCCAUGGUGAUAGGAGCAACUUGUAGACCGACAUCUUUUGAGCAAUAUUGGGAAUGGGCUAAAACAUUCAUGCCAAAUAAAGGGAAGUUGUAUAUGGUUGGCCUACCAGCAAUAUGCUGGGUCCUAUGGAAAUCUAGAAACUCUGUGUGCUUUGAUGGGAAAAAAUCAAAUCCUCUACUAAAAUUAUUUGCUUGGCAUCUUCCUUUAUCUCGUACUGGGCAGGUCUACAGAAGCUGGAGGACAAGAUGGACUUGGAGGUGGGAGCAGAAGCCCUGAAGGAAACAGUGCUGCAAUUCCACCCUCACGAAGCGACGCCAGAAGACGCAGGAAUGGUGCUAGUUUAGUAGAUGACUGCGAAAAAAGAGUUUCAAGGAAAAACGACGACGUCUACUCCUUGCUGUUUAGAACUAUUAGAUGGCUGGCGAUGGCCGUUAACAUGUUGCGGUCUGUUUGCUCAUGUAAUAAUUAGAGACUGUUUGCAGCUUUAGCUAGCGGGGCCUCUGUUCCUCAUUUCUGAAGAUUGUCUUCCCUUGAAGUUUAGCGUGAACUUUGUAAUUUCAUUGCUUUUAAGUAACUCUGGAAGUUCUGUCAUAGUGGAAAAAAGGACUAGAAGUUCUGGCAAAAUAUACAUGCCACGAAGAAAUGCACCUGCUAGCCGCGGUGACUAUCGGGGAUAGAUCCACAGUACCCGCAAGGAAGGAAGAAGACGGACUCCUACUAGGAUUUUUCUGUAAUUCUACUAGGAUUCAUACCUUGUAAUCCUAGGACUCCUCCUUGUAACCGACUAGUAAUCCCGCCCAUUGGAGUAUAUAAAGGAGGACAGGGGUCCCUAGAUCGGUAGGCAAAGACCUCAUAGAAUCACAACAGAGGACCAAAUCCUCAACACCGAAAAACAUACAAGCACAGGGCGCAAUAUACAACACCCUAAACAGGAUGUAGGGUAUUACGCUACUCUGGCGGCCUGAACCUGUAUAAAUCCGUGUCUUGUGCCCUCGCUUUUACCUUCGAGUUCCAGGUCCGACGAUCCCCCAACAACCAAUCUACUACCUCGGGAUACCCUCGCUAGGUUGCCAGGUAUAAAACACCGACAAUAACGAUAGGGAUGAGGACGACGGUGGUGACAGCCUGCCUGUAGAUGACGAACACUAGGGGCUCAUGCCGCCGGUGAAUGCCGCCUUGGACCACAGCGCCAGGGCCACGUAGAUGCACUGCAUCACCACCAUGGCCGCGAACGGCUUGUACUCAUCCAUGGCGGCUACAGUUGCAACACACGCUGGGCGGUGGGCGCUGCAGGUUGGUUUCGCUCAGUGGCUGGAUCUGGCACGGCGGUGCGUGCUCUCAGGAGCUACGCAGGCGGCACAUAUAUAUAGCAACGGGAAGGAGUUGCAGAUUACUAGCACAAAAAGUACAAAGAGUCACAUAGGGUGUGUUUGGUUGGGUGGCACACAAAGUAUUAGGAGGUUCCUGCAUGUGCGUGUGUUUAGUUGAGUGGCACACAAAGUACUGGGAGGCUCCUGCAUGUGCGUGCUCACAAGGUAGCAUACUGUUUGGACGUACGUGUUUGCUAUCAUAAGGGUGGGUGGUUAACUGGUUGCAUAUCACAAAAGUUUCUACGGACAUGUGCUCACAUGCUACUAGCUAGCACUUAGCAGACUUAUUAUGGAACAUGGAAAGUUGGAAUGGUGAUCUUAGGGACUUCUUCGGAACAGUGUAGCCAAGUUUAACGUGCUUUUGGUUCCCACCUGAAUCUUGGCACCAAAACCCCCAUCAACAUCAGUCCGGAAACCAGCAGUAUCGAUUGUCUCAAUUUUUGAAAUAGGCACAUGAUGUAGCGGUCAACUAGCACCAGCCAUUUCUGGCAUCUCUGUAAAAGCGUAUGCUAAUUUCAUCUCUGUAAUAUGCGAUUGAUUUAGGGUACCACUAACAUUCCCCCUUCCUCUUUAAUCUUUCCUAAAAAAAUUAUAAAAGUACUUAAAUUUAUGGAUGGAGUAAGUAUUUGUACAUCUAAAUUGUAUUAAAUAUAAUGGAGAAGUUCUCGAUUAAAAGGCUGUGAAUCUAUGUAAGAGGUAUAAUUUCCUAUGAUGUCUUUAUCCGAUUUCAUAUUAAAAAGUUUCGAAUUUCCAAAACUCAUGCUACAAACUUAGGGUCAACACUAGUUCUAGUUUGGAACCGACAUAGAGAGUCGCCUAUUAACGACAUUACCUAGCCACCUAGGAGGCUCUGACCCUGGGCAGUAGCUAUUCAGCAACAUUAUUAGUCGGGGUUCAGUGAUCAAAGGUAACCAUGCCAUAGAUUUGUUUAUAUUAUCUUCUGGAUAUUCUUAAUUUCUACUGUUAUCAGAAACUGUGAGCAGCCAAUCUUGAUAUUCUUUUCUAUGUGUUCAUGUGAACCUGAGCUGGACAUGAAAAGGCCAGUACAACUUUACAACAAUUUGACCACUGGAAUGAUGCAUGUAGGUUUGGUUGAACAAAUGGGAGCGUAUUAACAAGACUGUUUAGUACCUGAUCAUGUUAAUCGGUCUGGCCCAUUUGUACAAAUCUAAACAUAUUUCCUUUCCUGGGGUCGGAGAAGAUGCGCAUAUGUAACAGAGGGAGUAUCAAUCAAUCAAUCAAUCCUAUUAUUUACCUAAAAACUCGCCGGGUCCUACACAUUAGACCUAAUCCACUUUAGGGUUUUCAAGCGACGACGCAUCACAAAGCAAACAAGCAGCUCUCUUCUUCCCUUCCAUCUUGUCACACAAAAAUGACACGCAACGCCCCAUCGAGACAUACACCCCUUCGUCGUUGUCGGAAUAUACCUAUGGCUCUGGCCAAGUGGCCGCGUGCGGGUGCACGUAGUGGUCACGCACGGCUCAAUUAUAAUGGCACGGAUCCAAUUAAUCCUAAGAUGGAGAGAGGCACCUAGGGGCUGAUAAAGUCGUCGUGUUGGCAGCGACGCGUCAUCAAACAAAAGCAUCCAUCAAUCAAUCCUAUUGUUUACCAAAAACUCGCCAGAUCCUACGCAUUAUAUCCAACCCACUUCAGGGAUUUCAAGCGACGGCGCAUCACCGAGCAAACAAGCAGCUCUCUUCUUCCCUGCCAUCUCGUCACAAAAUAAUGGCUCCAGGACAGCCAAGUGGCCGGGCCGUGAAAGCCCUGAAAUCCACGGACGGAGAGCGAAAGCGUGCGGGUGCACGUAGCGCUCACGCACGGCUCUCUCACGGCGCAGCUAGCGGUAGCGCCGGCCGUUGCGAGACGAGAGAGGACGAGUAAUGGGAGGUGGUUCUGCGCUGUUUUCGUGGCAGUUGAUCGCGGACAGGAACCCCGGCCUUCCAGACGAAUAACGCACGGGAUUUUUGAGUUGAUUGUGAGGAGGAAGAGGAGCGCUGAUGGGUUCUCGUAGAUGUGUUCGUCGUCCUGGCCACGAUCUUCCUCUCUUAAUUGUUUUGAUUCGAUUAAAUCCAUACUGUGGUUCUAUUACGUUAAAGGUUGCCUACAGCUAACACGAAUUUUUCGUGUCGCAGGCUUCCCCUGCGUGGCACUGGUCCAAUCACUAACAAGUUUUUUUUUUCCUUAAAACAUAAUUUGGGAAACGAAUUCCUGUCAUGCUACUCGAAACGAAAAGGAAAGGUUUCGGUCACCAUUCGACGACCUAGAACAAAUAGAAUGAAUGAAUGAUCGCGACGGAACUGCAUGUGCUACUCCCUGUUGCCACAAAUAUGAACUGUGUACGACAUUUAGUUCGGUCGGAAGUCGGAACGCAACCAUGACACUAUUCCUG